rnacentral:rRNA from 1 species
GUGUGAAGAAGGCCCUCGGGUUGUAAAGCACUUUAAGCGAGGAGGAAGGUCAUCAUACUAAUAUUAUGAUGAAUUGACGUUACUCGCAGAAUAAGCACCGGCUAACUCUGUGCCAGCAGCCGCGGUAAUACAGAGGGUGCAAGCGUUAAUCGGAAUUACUGGGCGUAAAGCGCGCGUAGGCGGUUUGUUAAGUCGGAUGUGAAAUCCCUGGGCUCAACCUAGGCACUGCAUCCGAUACUGGCUAACUAGAGUGUGGGAGAGGAAGGUAGAAUUCCAGGUGUAGCGGUGAAAUGCGUAGAGAUCUGGAGGAAUACCGAUGGCGAAGGCAGCCUUCUGGCCUAACACUGACGCUGAGGUGCGAAAGCAUGGGGAGCAAACAGGAUUAGAUACCCUGGUAGUCCAUGCUGUAAACGAUGUCAACUAGCCGUUGGGGUCUUUAAGACUUUAGUGGCGUAGCUAACGCGAUAAGUUGACCGCCUGGGGAGUACGGUCGCAAGACUAAAACUC